GAUGAACGCUGGCGGCGUGCUUAACACAUGCAAGUCGAACGAGAAGUGGAGACGGACACCUUCGGGCGGAAGACUUUAUUUCGAGUGGCGGACGGGGGAGUAACGCGUGGGUAACCUGCCUCAUACAGGGGGAUAACAGUUGGAAACGACUGUUAAUACCGCAUAAGACCACAGCACCGCAUGGUGCGGGGGUAAAAACUCCGGUGGUAUGAGAUGGACCCGCGUUCGAUUAGCCAGUUGGCGGGGUAACGGCCCACCAAAGCGACGAUCGAUAGCCGAUCUGAGAGGAUGACCGGCCACAUUGGGACUGAGACACGGCCCAAACUCCUACGGGAGGCAGCAGUGGGGAAUAUUGCACAAUGGGGGAAACCCUGAUGCAGCGACGCCGCGUGAGUGAAGAAGUAUUUCGGUAUGUAAAGCUCUAUCAGCAGGGAAGAAAAUGACGGUACCUGAGUAAGAAGCCCCGGCUAACUACGUG
rnacentral:rRNA from 1 species